GAUGAACGCUGGCGGCGUGCCUAAUACAUGCAAGUCGAGCGAAUGGAUUAAGAGCUUGCUCUUAUGAAGUUAGCGGCGGACGGGUGAGUAACACGUGGGUAACCUGCCCAUAAGACUGGGAUAACUCCGGGAAACCGGGGCUAAUACCGGAUAACAUUUUGAACCGCAUGGUUCGAAAUUGAAAGGCGGCUUCGGCUGUCACUUAUGGAUGGACCCGCGUCGCAUUAGCUAGUUGGUGGGGUAACGGCUCACCAAGGCAACGAUGCGUAGCCGACCUGAGAGGGGGAUCGGCCACACUGGGACUGAGACACGGCCCAGAUUCCUACGGGAGGCAGCAGUAGGGAAUCUUCCGCAAUGGACGAAAGCCUGACGGAGCAACGCCGCGUGAGUGAUGAAGGCUUUCGGGUCGUAAAACUCUGUUGUUAGGGAAGAACAAGUGCUAGUUGAAUAAGCCGGCACCUUGACGGUACCUAACCAGAAAGCCACGGCUAACUACGUGCCAGCCGCCGCAGUAA
rnacentral:rRNA from 1 species